rnacentral:rRNA from 1 species
GACGAACGCUGGCGGCGUGCUUAACACAUGCAAGUCGAGCGGAAAGGCCACUUCGGUGGUACUCGAGCGGCGAACGGGUGAGUAACACAUGAGUAAUCUGCCCCUGGCUUUGGGAUAGCCACCGGAAACGGGGAUUAAUACCGGAUACGACCACUUCUCGCAUGGGAUGGUGGUGGAAAGUUUUUUCGGCCAGGGAUGUGCUCGCGGCCUAUCAGCUUGAUGGUGAGGUAAUGGCUCACCAUGGCUUCGACGGGUAGCCGGCCUGAGAGGGUGACCGGUCACACUGGGACUGAGACACGGCCCAGACUCCUACGGGAGGCAGCAGUGGGGAAUAUUGGACAAUGGGCGGAAGCCUGAUCCAGCAACGCCGCGUGAGGGAUGACGGCCUUCGGGUUGUAAACCUCUUUCAGCAGGGACGAAGCGCAAGUGACGGUACCUGCAGAAGAAGCACCGGCCAACUACGUGCCAGCCGCCGCGGUAA